rnacentral:rRNA from 1 species
UUCUGGAACAUUACUGACGCUGAGGCGCGAAAGCGUGGGGAGCAAACAGGAUUAGAUACCCUGGUAGUCCACGCCCUAAACGAUGAAUGUUAGUCGUCGGGUAGCUAGUCUAUUCGGUGAUGCAGCUAACGCAUUAAACAUUCCGCCUGGGGAGUACGGUCGCAAGAUUAAAACUCAAAGGAAUAGACGGGGACCCGCACAAGUGGUGGAGCAUGUGGUUUAAUUCGAAGAUACGCGAAGAACCUUACCUAGCCUUGACAUAUAUUAGAACACUUUAGAGAUAGAGUGGUGCCUUCGGGAGCUUUUAUACAGGUGCUGCACGGCUGUCGUCAGCUCGUGUCGUGAGAUGUUGGGUUAAGUCCCGCAACGAGCGCAACCCUCGUCACUAGUUACUAACGGUUCGGCCGAGGACUCUAGUGAGACUGCCUUCGCAAGGAGGAGGAAGGUGAGGACGACGUCAAGUCAUCAUGGCCCUUACGGCUAGGGCAACACACGUGCUACAAUGGCCAGGACAGUGAGACGCGAUACCGCGAGGUGGAGCAAAUCUAUAAACCUGGUCUCAGUUCGGAUUGUAGUCUGCAACUCGACUACAUGAAGCUGGAAUCACUAGUAAUCGUAGAUCAGCUAUGCUACGGUGAAUACGUUCCCGGGUCUUGUACUCACCGCCCGUCACACCAUGGGAGUUGAUUUCACCCGAAGCGGGGAAGCUAAACUGGCUACCCUCCACGGUGGAAUUAGCGACUGGGGUGAA